AGAGCAAUACUUACAUCAGCCAGAAUGAAGAGAGAAUCUGUCUGCUCUCUGAAGAAUGCCAUUAACAGCAGGAUCGCUGAGAUUGCCAUGAGGGAAUCUGAGGUUUCACCUUCAGGAAGGUCCUGAGGUUGCCAAUCAACACAACCAUAACUGUCCAAUUUAUUAAAUGAGUUCUUUUGGGGAA